UGAUAGGUUGGGCUGAUUCUUCUGGGGGGAAUCCAACUCUUAUGGGGGUGCAGCUGUCCGACCUUUAUCCCUUCCCUUCUUUUUGCCACUUCACGGGCAGGGAACUACGGAUCCCUGAAAGUUGGAAUGUCCCCUGCCCAAGCCAGAGGGAAAUAGUAAAAGCUCAUAUGGCUGAGUCAUAAGAGAGGCUCCAAGCAGGACUGACAGCCACGGCCUGCUUUCCUCUGGGCAGAGGUUCUGGGCCUCCCAAAUGGGACUGCUCUCACCUGGGCCACUUGUCUAAAACCAGCAGCACCACCUGCAUCGCCAUCACCUUCAUCACCACCACCAUUGGAAAGCUGAGCAGGUGGAGUUUCAUUCCCGAAGGGAGAGCCCUCAUCGCUGUGUUAUCAGAAACAAAGCAAAAGGCUUUGGAGCCAAGGUUGACUUCUCAUCCCAGAUCCAUAAAUCUCAGCUCCUGUGGCUUGCUCACUCUUCCAGAGGCUUCCGGGCUGACCAGAACCAGCUGGCCGCCUCCCCAGUCUCCUUGUUCCCUCCCUCUUGCUGCCCGGGACCACCUCUCAAAUAAGCUAUGUGCCCAAAUCUGUGUCUCAGGCUCUGCUUCCAGCGGCCCCUGAACAACUCUGCCUCUCACCACCUUGCUCAGCUCACCCUGACAUGACGUCCAAUACACAUUCCUGUUUCCUGCCUGAGGUCAUGAGCCCUGCGGACCCCAGACAGACGGAGUCGGUGGGUUCUGGGAGCAGAAGUUCCCUGAGAAGAUGGGUGGUGUUUGUUCCCUGGAAAGCGUGGCAGACUGUCAGUUACACAAUAUAUCUCAAGGGCUUUUAGAUGACGAUGAUGAUGAUGAUGAUGACGACGACGAUGGCAAUGACCACAAUGAUAGUGGUGAUGACCACAAUGAUGGUGACGCUGAGAAUGCUGCUGCUAACAAUCCGAUAAGCUGCUGGAAAACAACCUGGAUCAACAUUUUCCCUGGGAAUCACUCAGCUGCCUCUAGAUGAGUGUCUGAAGGGCAAACUAUCCAAACUACCAGAUCUUUCACAGCCAUUAGCCACCUCCAUGGAGAGCAAUUAUUCUCCCUCCACACUUACACAUCCACAUC